AAGAGAGCAAAUCAUCUGGUUCUACUUGAUCCCCCAUAAAACUUGUUGCUGCGUUUGCUGUAGCCGAUCCAUACGUUGUUGAUUCAUGAUGCACACAUGAACUUUCUCUAGAAGAACCAGGUUGCUGCAAUAUAGAAUUUUCAGUUGAACUAGUGCAGUUAGUGCUAUUUUCACUCGAUUCACUGCUGUGAACAGCUGUUUUUUUGUCAUCUGACUCUGUACUGGAGAUUGUGAAAAACUUCUGACCAAG
rnacentral:misc_RNA from 1 species